GUGAAUCAUCGAAUCUUUGAACGCAAAUUGCACUUUCUGGUAUUCCGGAGAGUAUGCCUGUUUGAGGGUCAGUUAAAACAAAAUCGGUGUUGUUUCUGCUUUUCGUGGUGACGCGUCGGAAUUUAGUUGUUUUAGCUUCGGUUAAGUGACUUAAAAUUUUGCAUGGUUUUCGUACGAAUUUAUUUUUAUUAUGUAAGUUUGGGAUGUGGUAUACAUUACUAGGUUUGGUCAUCCUCAUGAUUCGCACCUAUAAUUUUUCAUUAAAAUGACCUAAAUUCAGUUAGAAUAACCGGUGAAAUUU
rnacentral:misc_RNA from 1 species